AAGACCUUGCGCUUUUGGAGCGGCCGAUGUCUGAUUAGCUUGUUGGUGAGGUAAAAGCUUACCAAGGCUUCGAUCAGUAGCUGGUCUGAGAGGACGGCCAGCCACACUGGGACUGAGACACGGCCCAGACUCCUACGGGAGGCAGCAGUGGGGAAUUUUGGACAAUGGGGGCAACCCUGAUCCAGCCAUGCCGCGUGAGUGAAGAAGGCCUUCGGGUUGUAAAGCUCUUUCAGCCGGAACGAAACGGUUACGGUUAAUACCCGUGACUACUGACGGUACCGGAAGAAGAAGCACCGGCUAACUACGUGCCAGCAGCCGCGGUAAUACGUAGGGUGCGAGCGUUAAUCGGAAUUACUGGGCGUAAAGCGUGCGCAGGUGGUUUUGUAAGUCAGAUGUGAAAUCCCCGGGCUUAACCUGGGAACU
rnacentral:rRNA from 1 species